rnacentral:rRNA from 1 species
ACGGAAGGCAGCAGUGGGGAAUAUUGGGCAAUGGGCGAAAGCCUGACCCAGCAACGCCGCGUGAAGGAAGAAGGUCUUCGGAUUGUAAACUUCUUUUAUGAGGGACGAAGGAAGUGACGGUACCUCAUGAAUAAGCCACGGCUAACUACGUGCCAGCAGCCGCGGUAAUACGUAGGUGGCAAGCGUUAUCCGGAUUUACUGGGUGUAAAGGGCGCGUAGGCGGGGAUGCAAGUCAGGUGUGAAAUCUAUGGGCUUAACUCAUAAACUGCACUUGAAACUGUAUCUCUUGAGUGCUGGAGAGGUAGACGGAAUUCCUUGUGUAGCGGUGAAAUGCGUAGAUAUAAGGAGGAACACCAGUGGCGAAGGCGGCUUGCUGGACUGUUACUGACACUGAGGCACGAAAGCGUGGGGAGCAAACAGGAUUAGAUACCCUGGUA